UUCCCGUUUCUUUCCAAUUUCUCAUUUUUCAUUUUUCUAUUUUUAGCUUCUUAUUUAGGGUUUUUUAACUUCUGAUUUCUUUCCAAUUCAUUUUUCAAAGCUCGAUUCGAAGAUGGAUGGUGGAGAUGUUGAUGGGCAUGAAGUAAUGAAAGCUUACGAUGUAAGUGAAAUUAAUGGUAGGAAAUUAGGAAUUUGUGAACACGAGAAAGAAUUAAAUUAGGGACAUGGGUUUCUUUUUUUUCGGAACUUCAUGAAAAGAGAUCAGAUGAUCCUGAAAAGAGCAAGGUGAUAGAUAUUUGAAGCCGUGUUAUUAUUCUUGAACCAGAAGUUACAUUUCUACCUCGUGCAAAAGACGACGAAUGUCUACGAAUGAAGAGGCAUGUAACUUAACUCGUAGACACAUACUUCUCUGGCAUAAGAAAAAUGGCUCAGAAUUGUUCUCAGUAAGGGGAGAGGGAAUCGAUCCUGCUGCAUAGGCAGCUGCAGAAUACCUAUCCAACUGAUGAUGAAUUUGGCGUGCCAUAUACUUAGGAGAACCAACAUUUGAUGAAUUCGUCAGACUUUAAUUUUUUUUUUCUUUUA